rnacentral:ribozyme from 1 species
AUGCUUGUAAUCUUCUAUUUCUAUUUUUUGAUUUUUUUUUUUCUUUUUUUUUUAAAUAAUUUUUUUACGUUUUAUUUUUAUAACCGCAAAUGUGAAGGGGGAGGAGUAUGAGUCCUCAAAAAGGGAAAAUAUCGAGAACCCAAUCUAGUUUUUUUUUUCGCUUGUUGAAGUUUUUUUACAAAU